rnacentral:rRNA from 1 species
UACGUAGGGUGCAGGCGUUAAUCGGAAUUACUGGGCGUAAAGCGUGCGCAGGCGGUUUGCUAAGACAGGUGUGAAAUCCCCGGGCUUAACCUGGGAACUGCGCUUGUAACUGGCAAGCUGGAGUGUGGCAGAGGGGGGUGGAAUUCCACGUGUAGCAGUGAAAUGCGUAGAGAUGCGGAGGAACACCGAUGGCGAAGGCAGCCCCCUGGGCUAACACUGACGCCUCAGGCACGAAGCGUGGGGAGCAAACAGG